AUGGAUACGGCGUGUGGCGAGGGGGCUUGGCGCCACGGUGCGGUGGCGGCGGCAGCGACCAUGCGGAGGGGGAGCUACGACGACUCGGCGGUGUCCCUCCGACCGCACCUUCGAACCCUGGCUCACAGACGACGCUCCGCGCCUGCCCUGGCCUUCGAGAGGGCCCUGGGAAUGCCCUGGUCUCCAAUCAGGGAGGAGGCGUCCUGCUGGUCAAGCCUGGACCAGUGUCCCUUUGUCCUGGGCCUCAGCAGUGAGAACGGGGAGCUGCUGCUGGACCAGCUCGUCCAGGUCACUGAGGGCAACCAGACCAAGGAGAGACACCUGUUCCUCUUCAACGACGUACUCGUCUUCGCUAAGCUGAAGUGAGUGUGUGGAUUUAUAACAAACUGAAAUUCAAGUUAGUUAUAAAUUCGUAAUUUCAUGCACAGGCCUAAAGUCUGGAUAACAAAAUCUAAGUGUCCUGCAAACACUUGCUAUGCUUGCCCCCUCCCCAACAAUUUGUAGGAGUAAUGUAGUCUCUAGCGUUUUCAAGGAAGUUGGCCUCGGGACGUGAGAAGCGAAAACGGU
rnacentral:lncRNA from 1 species